UACGUAGGUGGCAAGCGUUGUCCGGAUUUACUGGGCGUAAAGAGCGCGCAGGCGGUCGUUCAAGUCGCGUGUGAAAGCCCCCGGCUCAACUGGGGAGGGUCACGCGAUACUGAUCGACUCGAAGGCAGGAGAGGGUAGUGGAAUUCCCGGUGUAGUGGUGAAAUGCGUAGAUAUCGGGAGGAACACCAGUGGCGAAGGCGGCUACCUGGACCGGUUCUGACGCUGAUGCGCGAAAGCGUGGGUAGCAAACAGG
rnacentral:rRNA from 1 species